rnacentral:rRNA from 1 species
AUUGAACGCUGGCGGCAGGCCUAACACAUGCAAGUCGAACGAGUGGCGGACGGGUGAGCAAUGUCUUGGAAACUGCCUGAUGGAGGGGGAUAACGACUGUAAACGGUAGCUAAUACCGCAUACCAUCAGAUGUGCCCAGAUGGGAUUAGCUAGUAGGGGGGGUAAUGGCUCACCAAGGCGACGAUCCCUAGCUGGUCUGAGAGGAUGACCAGCCACACUGGAACUGAGACAAGGUCCAGACUCCUACGGGAGGCAGCAGUGGGGAAUAUUGCACAAUGGGCGCAAGCCUGACGCAGCCAUGCCGCGUGUGUGAAGAAGGCGUUCGGGUUGUAAAGCACUGUCGGCGAGGAGGCGUUACUCACAGAAGAAGCACCGGCUAACUCCGUGCCAGCAGCCGCGGUAAUUC